rnacentral:rRNA from 1 species
CCUACGGGGGGCAGCAGUAGGGAAUUUUCGGCAAUGGGGGGAACCCUGACCGAGCAACGCCGCGUGAAGGAAGAAGGAAUUCGUUCUGUAAACUUCUGUUAUAAAGGAAGAAAGACGGAUGGAGGAAAUGACAUCCGAGUGACGGUACUUUAUGAGAAAGCAACGGCGAACCACGUGCCAGCAGCCGCGGUAAGACGCAGGUGGCAAGCGUUAUCCGGAAUCAGUGGGCGAAAGGAGGGAGCAGGCGGCAGCAAAGGUAUGUGGUGAAAGACUGAAGCUUAACUUCAGUAAGCCAUAGAAACCGGGCAGUUAGAGUGCAGGAGAGGAUCGUGAAUUCCAUGUGUAGCGGUGAAAUGCGUAGAUAUAUGGAGGAACACCAGUGGCGAAGGCGACGAUCUGGCCUGCAACUGACGCUCAGUCCCGAAAGCGUGGGGAGCGAAAGGGAUUAGAUACCCUGGUAGUC